GACGAACGCUGGCGGCGUGCUUAACACAUGCAAGUCGAACGAAGAGCGAUGGAAGCUUGCUUCUAUCAAUCUUAGUGGCGAACGGGUGAGUAACGCGUAAUCAACCCGCCCUUCAGAGGGGGACAACAGUUGGAAACGACUGCUAAUACCGCAUACGAUCUAACCUCGGCAUCGAGGAUAGAUGAAAGGUGGCCUCUACAUGUAAGCUAUCACUGAAGGAGGGGAUUGCGUCUGAUUAGCUAGUUGGAGGGGUAACGGCCCACCAAGGCGAUGAUCAGUAGCCGGUCUGAGAGGAUGAACGGCCACAUUGGGACUGAGACACGGCCCAGACUCCUACGGGAGGCAGCAGUGGGGAAUCUUCCGCAAUGGACGAAAGUCUGACGGAGCAACGCCGCGUGAGUGAUGACGGCCUUCGGGUUGUAAAGCUCUGUUAAUCGGGACGAAAGGCCUUCUUGCGAAUAGUUAGAAGGAUUGACGGUACCGGAAUAGAAAGCCACGGCUAACUACGUG
rnacentral:rRNA from 1 species